rnacentral:misc_RNA from 1 species
GUAUUAGAAUGUGCUGCUGCUGAUCCUGCUGUUUUACCAGCACUAGCAUUUCUUCCUAUAGGGAACUGAUUUCCAUUAGGUGCAUGAUUCCUUAGAUUCUGCUGCCACUGACUAGUAGAAUUGGAUGGUUUUGAAUGAUUGAACGGUGGGGAUGUUUCUGUAGCCAUAAAAGCUUCAUGACAGUUGGGGCAAAGAAGAGUGUGGUUGAGAUAUAUCUUCAAAUACUCGUAAUGCAUCUUGCAACGGUGGCAAAUGGUCCAGAAAGUAUCACUUCUUUGAUUGGAUGAAGCAUUGACUGAUGAAGAGGGCAUCCGAGAAGCAUU